GAGAAUUCUGCCUUCAAACACAUUGACACUCAAGGGUGGAGGUAUGAGACAGUCAUGUGACCACCAUCCAAACGGAACCAUCUUGAAGGUGCAGUGCUUGUCCAUGGCACCCUGCUGUCCUGUGUGCUCCAGGCCUGGGGAGUUACUUCCUGUUCCAAGUUACAACUAAGGCCAGAGACCUC
rnacentral:lncRNA from 1 species